UGUUUUGUAUAAUACUGUCUCAUCUUCCUUAACCUCCCAUGGAUUCCAAGACAGCAAAUUUAACCUCCAGGCUCCACCAAACACGGCUUGGUCCAAAUUUCCUUAGUUGGCAUAACCAAAACAAAGAUACUUCCGAACGGCUGCCACUAUCUUUACACGAAAACACUCCAUAACCCAAAUAAUAGUAGUAAUUUAAAAGUAAUUUUUUCCCCCUCAAUCCAAAUAAGAUUUCGUUUCUCUCUCCGUUUUUAGCGGUUGUUGAGUGCGCCACAUUGUUAACUUCACUCCUAAAUACACUUUCCCUUAUCUCCAUUUUCUCCACAUUGUUAACUUCACUCCUAAAUACACUUUCCCUUAUCUCCAUUUUCUCCACAUUGUUAACUUCACUCCUAAAUACACUCUCCAUUUUCUCUUUCAUGGCUUCUCCUCUUCCACUUUUUCAAUUCCCAACUCGCUCUCCAACACGCCUUUCCUCUACAUUCAAACCAACUUCAUCUCGUAAAUUCAAUGGACAUUUUACAAUAAGGUAUUCUUCAAAUGGAAGAGAGCCUGAGUCGGUAGACGAAGGAGUUAAGGAGGUGGAGAAGCUUCUACAAGCUAAGCGGCGAGCUGAAUUAUCUGCUCGUAUUGCUUCCGGCGAAUUCACUGUUGAACAACCUGGAUUCCCUUCAUUGCUCAAAAAUGGUUUGUCUAAAUUGGGUGUACCAAAGGAGUUUCUUGAGUUCUUCUCUCUACAGCUGGGGCCUCGCAUUCCAGAGGCAAAAGGAUCCAUCAGCGCUAUUCGGGAAGAGCCAUUCUUCAUCCCACUUUAUGAGCUUUACCUUACUUAUGGUGGAAUUUUCCGGUUGAUUUUUGGUCCCAAGUCUUUCUUAAUAGUUUCUGAUCCAUCGAUAGCCAAGCACAUACUGAAAGAUAAUUCAAAAGCUUAUUCUAAGGGUAUCCUAGCUGAAAUAUUGAACUUUGUGAUGGGGAAGGGACUUAUACCUGCAGAUGGAGAAAUUUGGCGUGUCAGGCGGCGUGCCAUUGUACCAGCAUUGCAUCAAAAGUAUGUAGCAGCUAUGAUUGGCUUAUUUGGAAAAGCAACCGACAGGUUGUGCAAAAAGAUUGAUGUUGCUGCAUCUGAUGGAGAAGAUGUAGAGAUGGAAUCACUAUUCUCCCGUCUAACAUUAGACAUCAUUGGAAAAGCUGUAUUUAAUUAUGAUUUUGACUCGUUAACCAUAGACAAUGGUAUUGUGGAGGCUGUAUAUACAGUACUUAGGGAAGCAGAAGAUCGCAGUACUGCACCGAUUCCAGUUUGGGAAAUACCCAUCUGGAAAGAUAUCUCUCCAAAGCUGAAAAAGGUCAAUGCAGCUCUCAAGUUGAUUAAUGCCACAUUGGAUGAUUUGAUUGCUACAUGUAAGAGGAUGGUAGAUGAAGAAGAGUUGCAGUUUCACGAGGAAUACAUGAAUGAACAAGAUCCUAGCAUCCUCCAUUUCUUGUUAGCAUCUGGAGAUGAGGUCUCAAGCAAGCAACUCCGUGAUGACCUCAUGACAAUGCUUAUAGCCGGACAUGAAACAUCUGCGGCAGUGCUCACAUGGACCUUUUAUCUGUUGUCCAAGGAACCUAGUGUCAUGGCCAAGCUUCAAGAUGAGGUCGAUUCAGUUCUAGGGGAUAGGUUUCCAACCAUUGAAGAUCUAAAGAAACUCAGAUACACAACUCGUGUGAUUAAUGAAUCUUUAAGACUAUACCCACAGCCACCAGUCUUGAUUCGUCGUUCUAUUGAAGAGGACGUAAUUGGAGGUUACCCAAUUAAAAGGACCGUGGUACGGGACAGACGAUUGGCGCAGGACAUGAAACACAAGGCCUCUACCAUAUUACCUCUUCAAAUUCCUUCACAGCAUACUCCGUUACAGACCCUCCAGACCUAAUUCACAAACGUUUAGGACAUCCGAGUCUAUCCAAGCUUCAAAAGAUGGUGCCUAGUUUGUCUAGUUUAUCCAUAUUUUGAUUGUGAGUCAUGUCAACUUGGGAAACACACCCGUGCUACUUUUUCACAUACUAUUAGGAGUCGUUCAGAGUCUAAUUUCUCAUUAGUUCAUUCUGAUGUUUGGGGACCUAGUAGAGUCAGUUCACUCUUAGGUUUUCGUUAUUUUGUUAGUUUCAUUGAUGAUUCUUCAAGAUGUACAUGGGUUUCCGUAAUGAAAGAUCGUUCUGAGAUAGUUUCUAUAUUAAAAAGUUUUUGUGCUGAAAUACAAACUCAAUUUGGUGUUUUUAUUCGUACUUUUCGUAGUGAUAAUGCCUUAGAAUACUUAUCCUCUCAGUUUUGGGAGUUCAUGUCUCAUCAAGAAAUUAUUCACCAAACGUUUUGUCCGUACAACCUUCAGCAGACGGUGUAGCAGAAAGGAAGAAUAAGCAUCUUCUUGAGACUGCUUGACUCUUCUCAUUGAAUCCCAUGUUCCGCUGCAUUAUUAGGGCGAUGCAGUCCUCGCAUCUUGCUAUCUAAUUAAUGGAAUGCCAUCAUCUUCCAUUCAAAUUAGGUUCCCCAUUUCAUAUUGUUUCCACAGUCACCUCUCUACUCUAUCCCUCCUCGUGUAUUUGGGAGCACAUGCUUUGUUCAUAACUUAGCCCCUGGAAAAGAUAAGUUAGUCUCUCGUGCUCUCAAGUAUAUCUUCCUUGGUUACUCUCAAGUUCAAAAAGGGUAUUGUUGUUAUUCACUGGAUCUUCAUCGCUACCUUAUGUCCGUCGAUGUCGCCUUUUUUUAAUCUCAACCUUAUUAUACAUCUUUUGAUUAUCUUGAUAUUUCGGAGGUCUUACCCGUAUCUCCAAAUUUACCUGUUCCAAUCUUUGAGGAAUUAAUGAUUACUUCUACGUCUCCAGCUGCAGUGCCACCACUUUUGGCUUAUCAUCGUCGUUCGCGUCCAACAUUAGUCCCAGAUGAUUCAUGUCAUGCGCCAAACACUGCUCUUAUUGCGGACUUGCCUCCUCCUAGCCAAUUAGUUUCACUUAAAAAGGGUAUACAUUUCACUCAUAAUGCUAAUCCACAUUAUGCUUUCUCGAGUUAUCAUCGUCUAUCAUUACCCUAUUAUGCUUUUGUUUCAUUUUUGCCCUCUGUUUCCAUCCCUAAGACUGUAGGUGAAACACUUUCUCAUUCAGGAUGGAAGCAGACUAUGAUAGAUGAGAUGUCUGCUUUGCAUACGAGUGGUACUUGGGAGCUUGUUUCUUUUCCUGCAGUUGGACAUUAAGAAUGCUUUUCUUGCACGGUGAUCUUGAGGAAGAAGUCUAUAUGGAGCAACCACCUGGUUUUGUUACUCAGGGGAGACUAGUAGCCGUGUAUGUCGAUUGCGCAGGUCACUCUAUGGUCUGAAACAGUCCCCUCGAGCCUUGUUUGAAAAGUUUAGCACAGUAAUUCAACAGUUUGACAUGAUUCAUGGUGGAGCUGAUCACUCAGUGUUUUAUCGGCAUUCUGAAUCAAAUGUGUGUAUUUAUUUGGUGGUUUAUGUUGACGAUAUCGUUAUCACCGGCAAUGAUCAAGAUGGUAUCACUAAGUUGAAGCAACAUCUCUUUCAACAUUCCCAGACUAAAGACCUAGGCAGACUGAAAUAUUUUUUAGGUAUUGAAGUUGCUCAGUCCAGAUCAGGGGUGAAGACAUUUUCAUUUCUGUUUGGAACUUGCAUCGAUGCCCCAAUCGUUGGGAAGAGGCUGUUAGAUUCAAUCCCGAGAGGUGGCCAUUAGAUGGACCUAACCCGAAUGAGACAAACCAAAA